CAACUGCAUGCUUGUGCAAACCUGAAAGAGGGAAAACACGACAGGGUGAUAGGGUCCAGUACCCCGGCUUCACAGAGCCAGCCGCCCUUCCCUUUCCACCACGAGAACCAAAAGAACAAAGUUCGCACUGAUUUCACGUUCAGAGGCGCGCCAGAAUAUCCUGCGGGUUACCCAGUACCCGCUGUUUGGUGGGGAAUUGAUUCAAGCGCCUCAGUCAAGUUCACAGCGGUCCCUAGUGCUCGAGACGUCGGAUGCGUCCCAGGAACCGACACCAAGGUUUUAGAAGGUAAUUUUUCCAGGCAGAAUCUGGACCCUUCUAAAUGAAGAGUAAUUCAUGAAGAAAAUACUCUGAACCAUCGGAGUGCUUGAAAGUCUAUCUCACGCGCUCUGUCCUCCCCUCUCCGCUCACUGAGAAGUCGGCCUUGAUGACUCCCUAGCAGUGACCUUGCCUUCUUCUGGGGCUCCAGGCUGCCCUCUUGGCACCCCACCUUCGCAGUCAGGACCUCGGUGUCCUGGCUUCUCCUUGGAAAUCCUUGAGCCCUGCUCUAAUUAGGAAGAACUGCUGGAUUGCAGCGUUGACUGAUUUCCAGCUCUGCAAUUUGGGGACCCUAGACUUAGAGACCUAAGUCUAAGAACACAGCAAAAGCAGAUAGGAAAGACCUCAGUGACAGGGGCACAAAAGGGAUCACAAUGACAGAAGUAACCCAAACCUCACUGGCGUGCUACCCACUGGCUCACCCAGGACUCCUGAGUCCCAAGAAGAACCCAAUCAUGUGGAGGUGUGUUGGGAGCUCAUGAACAAUCCCACUCCGGUUGCAGGAGGGGCACCCCCUGAGCCAUAUGGGCAUCUUGAAGUUCUGUGACAUGCAGUAGAACUCACUCCCCUACCACCCCCAAUCCAUUCCCCUGGGUGCAGGGACCCCCAAGCAGAGCUGCCUGACCCCCACUGGGCUCAGGGUUGUAGUUAAAUGUCGACUUCAGUUCUUACUCCUAGGACUCCGGCAUGAAGUCAGUGGGGCUGGAAAGGAGUCAGCCAAGGAACAGACGCCAGCUUGGGUGCAGUCCCGCACUAACACGGGCCAUUUCCAGGAGACUCCUCAGUCCUCAUAAACCCCCUCUCCAGUUCAUUAGAGACAAGAAGAUGCUGGGCCCCACACAGCUUUAUUCAUCUAAAACCCAAACCGACUCUGUUUCCACACCUCUUACACCUAAGCUGAUCCUUGAUACAAUAGAUGCUCCCUCCUGCCUUUACUUCCUCCUCCACCUGGGGGCCAGCAUUCAAAGACUGCUGUUGGCUCGGCUUUCUACUCCUCUCCCUGCCUUCCCCAUUGAACUGCGCUAGAAGCAGCCACAAGUGGGAGAGUUCUUGCACCCUGAGGUCUGAAUCCCAGCCCUGCCAUAUGUCCCCUCUCCAAGCUGCUUUCCUCCACUGAAAUCUAGGAUUAAAGAUAUCUACCUCACAGGGAUUAAACAGGCUAAGUGAUGUCAAAUGCCUGGAAUAAUUACUGGGUGCCUGCAUCUGAGCUCAGUACAUUCUCCUGGGUGCUUUCAACACCACUAUUCUCCAUGCCUGCCCAGAGACUGCUGAAAACUGCUGGAGGAAAUGAAAUCACUAUGAGGAUCAAUACUCUGACAAAUCUGCAGCAUCACACUUUACCAGGUUCAUUUCUCUAACUUUCAAAAUUUUGCACAACAUGAUUUUUUAAAAAUUGUUUUUCAAUUAAACAUUCUAUAAUUUACACAUGAA